rnacentral:rRNA from 1 species
AACGAACGCUGGCGGCAUGCCUAACACAUGCAAGUCGAACGAGACCUUCGGGUCUAGUGGCGCACGGGUGCGUAACGCGUGGGAACCUGCCCUUAGGUUCGGAAUAACUCCCCGAAAGGGGUGCUAAUACCGGAUAAUGUCUUCGGACCAAAGAUUUAUCGCCUUUGGAUGGGCCCGCGUUGGAUUAGCUAGUUGGUAGGGUAAAAGGCGACCAAGGCGACGAUCAAUAGCUGGUCUGAGAGGAUGAUUAGCCACACUGCGACGGAGACACGGCCCAGACUCCUACGCGAGGCAGCAGUGGGGAAUAUUGGACCAUGGGCGAAAGCCUGAUCCUGCUAUGCCGCGUGAGUGAUGAAGGCCUUAGGGUUGUAAAGCUCUUUUACCCGGGAUGAUAAUGACAGUACCGGGAGAAUAAGCUCCGGCUAACUCCGUG